GAAUGGGAUCGAGAACUGGCCAUACUUGCACAGAGACUCGCAGACCAGUGCACUUUCGUCCACGACGACUGCAGAGCCACAGUGCGCUACCCUUACGCGGGUCAAACUGUUGGUGAAGUGCGCUGGCGUAGAUCCAGUGACUCAGAGACGCUGACGGCACAGCGAGCCAUUAGGCGGGUGUUCGAUGCCUGGUGGGGCGAGCGGAGAAGAGUGCAGCCUCACCAGUUGACCGCUCCUUUUAGGAUGACUGCCAAGGGUGCAGUAUGGGGCCACUUCAGCCAACUCGCAGUGUGGUCGCUUCGUGCGGUCGGCUGCGGCGCGGUGCGACACGGCGCCAGCUACC